GGCCUCACCUGGAUCACCUUCUUAAAGGGACAGGAGGGCAGGAAGGAAACUUGUAAAACAGGCCAUAAACUUCAAAAAAACCGGAGGCGCCUUGACCGGAACGAGACUGCGGGCGCCGCCUAGUGGGUGGGAUUGGGAAUCGACUUGGCUCCGUGCUCCUUUGGACCCUAAACCCAUCCCUGUCUCCAACCGGCCUUUGGCCUAACUACACCCUGGUGUCCCCUCCCUUCUCCCUUUCUUCAGGGCCCAGCGCUGUAAUAGACACCGGCAGGGGGAAAGCAGGGUAAAGAGACACGUCUUGAUGUUCCCGUCGGGGAGGCUUAGGUGACCAUCUUGCAAGGCGAGGUUGGUUGGAAGCAAGUCCGGGCGGGGGCUCGGUAGAUAAGGACAGGAGGAAAAUGGCUCAUAAUUUCCUGGCCCAGGCUAGCCUCAUUGGCAUAAAUAAAUAAAUGGAAUCCAAGUACAUUGGUUGGAAAAUUCACAUGGAACAGAAAAGAAACCAAACGGAAAAAGGUGGUGCAGAAGCUGUGAGCCUCCAUCGCAUUACAGCAAGGGCCACAGAGGAGCGCAAACUUGAAGAAUGGAUAGUAGCAGCCACCAAGAAGGAAGUUGGAUUGUUUCUGGUGCUGAUGGGAGAGACAAAGCUUCAGUUCAGGACACACAAAAGAGCAGAAACCAAAUUGUCUAGGCGGUGCUGGCUGGGCAGAAGGAAAGACCAUUAUUUGCAAGUGUCUGUUGAUAAAAGCUGGGGAGAGAGGCUUCCCCAUGCUUUUACCUUCUUACUGCGAAGCUGCCGUCUCUGGACCGAGUCUCUGAAGCAAGACUGAGGACCUACGAAGCCAAAGUGUCAGCAUGGUUUCUUUUCCUUUUCUUUCUUUCUGCCACUCCUCCCUCCGUCCCUUCUUUCUUUCUUUUCAAAUAAUUCUCGGAAAGUGCUAUUUGUGAGACCAAAGUUAAGAGCUAUGCUCAUUAUCCUGGGUGCUUAAAUUAAAAAAUUCCUGUAUGUUUUUGACAGGCACUGAGGGUUACUGGAAGGG